rnacentral:rRNA from 1 species
CGGCGAGUGAAGCGGGAAGAGCUCAAAUUUGUAAUCUGGCACUUUCAGUGUCCGAGUUGUAAUCUCGAGAAGUAUUUUCCGCGCCGGACCGCAUACAAGUCUGUUGGAAUACAGCGUCAUAGUGGUGAGAACCCCGUAACUGAUGCGGAUGCCCGGUGCUUUGUGAUAUACUUUCGAAGAGUCGAGUUGUUUGGGAAUGCAGCUCAAAUUGGGUGGUAAAUUCCAUCUAAAGCUAAAUAUUGGAGCAAGACCGAUAGCGAACAAGUACCGUGAGGGAAAGAUGAAAAGCACUUUGGAAAGAGAGUUAACAGUACGUGAAAUUGUUGGAAGGGAAACGCUUGAAGUCAGACUUGCUAUUCGGAGUUCAGCCGCAAGGUGUAUUCUUCGAUUUGCAGGCCAGCAUCAGUUUUUGGGGGUGGAAAAUCGUGGUUUGAAGGUAGCAGCUUCGGCUGUGUUAUAGCUUUCCACUGGAUUCAUCUUCGGGGACUGAGGAACGCAGUACGCUUUUUGCAAGGCUUUCGAGCUUUU